rnacentral:rRNA from 1 species
CCGUGAGGUGGAGCGAAUCACAAAACUCGGUCUCAGUUCAGAUUGCAGGCUGCAACUCGCCUGCAUGAAGUUGGAAUUGCUAGUAAUCGCGAAUCAGAAUGUCGCGGUGAAUACGUUCCCGGGCCUUGUACACACCGCCCGUCACACCAUGAGAGUCGAUAACACCCGAAGCCUGUGAGCUAACCUUUUAGGAGGCAGCAGUCGAAGGUGGGGUUGAUGAUUGGGGUGAAGUCGUAACAAGGUAAC